UACGUAGGGUGCAAGCGUUAAUCGGAAUUACUGGGCGUAAAGCGUGCGCAGGCGGUUGUGCAAGACAGAUGUGAAAUCCCCGGGCUCAACCGUGGGAAUUGCAUUUGGUGACUGCACGGCUAGAGUGUGUCAGAGGGGGGUAGAAUUCCACGUGUAGCAGUGAAAUGCGUAGAGAUGUGGAGGAAUACCGAUGGCGAAGGCAGCCCCCUGGGAUAACACUGACGCUCAUGCACGAAAGCGUGGGGAGCAAACAGG
rnacentral:rRNA from 1 species